GUCGUAGCAAAUUCUGCGACCGGGUUUAGCAGCCUGAAUGAUUGUGCGGACAGCCGCAGAUAUCCUAUAUUGCGGUAUUUUU
rnacentral:sRNA from 1 species